rnacentral:rRNA from 1 species
UACGGAGGUGGCAAGCGUUGUUCGGAUUGAUUGGGUGUAAAGGGCAUGUAGGCGUCUUGGUAAGUCGAGCGUGAAAUCCCGUAGCUCAACUACGGAACUGCACUCGAAACUGCCAGGAUUGAGUACGGAAGGGGAGAAUGGAAUUCCCGGUGUAAGAGUGAAAUCUGUAGAUAUCGGGAGGAACACCAGUAGCGAAGGCGAUUCUCUGGGCCGAUACUGACGCUGAAAUGCGAAAGCUAGGGGAGCAAACAGGAUUAGAUACCCUCGUA